CUACGGGAGGCUGCAGUGGGGAAUAUUGCACAAUGGAGGAAACUCUGAUGCAGCAACGCCGCGUGGAGGAUGACACUUUUCGGAGCGUAAACUCCUUUUAUAUAGGAAGAAGAUGACGGUACUAUAUGAAUAAGCGCCGGCUAACUCCGUGCCAGCAGCCGCGGUAAUAGGGAGGGCGCAAGCGUUACUCGGAAUCACUGGGCGUAAAGAGCGUGUAGGCGGAUUAAAAAGUCAGAAGUGAAACCCUAUAGCUUAACUAUAGAACUGCUUCUGAAACUCUUAAUCUAGAAUAUGGGAGAGGUAGAUGGAAUUUCUGGUGUAGGGGUAAAAUCCGUAGAGAUCAGAAGGAAUACCGAUUGCGAAGGCGAUCUACUAGAACAUUAUUGACGCUGAGACGCGAAAGCGUGGGGAGCAAACAGGAUUAGAUACCCCGGUAGUC
rnacentral:rRNA from 1 species